rnacentral:rRNA from 1 species
GCUGACGAGUGGCGGACGGGUGAGUAAUGUCUGGGAAACUGCCUGAUGGAGGGGGAUAACUACUGGAAACGGUGGCUAAUACCGCAUAACGUCGCAAGACCAAAGAGGGGGACCUUCGGGCCUCUUGCCAUCAGAUGUGCCCAGAUGGGAUUAGCUAGUUGGUGAGGUAACGGCUCACCAAGGCGACGAUCCCUAGCUGGUCUGAGAGGAUGACCAGCCACACUGGAACUGAGACACGGUCCAGACUCCUACGGGAGGCAGCAGUGGGGAAUAUUGCACAAUGGGCGCAAGCCUGAUGCAGCCAUGCCGCGUGUAUGAAGAAGGCCUUCGGGUUGUAAAGUACUUUCAGCGGGGAGGAAGGUGUUGUGGUUAAUAACCGCAGCAAUUGACGUUACCCGCAGAAGAAGCACCGGCUAACUCCGUGCCAGCAGCCGCGGUAAUACGGAGGGUGCAAGCGUUAAUCGGAAUUACUGGGCGUAAAGCGCACGCAGGCGGUCUGUCAAGUCGGAUGUGAAAUCCCCGGGCUCAACCUGGGAACUGCAUUCGAAACUGGCAGGCUUGAGUCUUGUAGAGGGGGGUAGAAUUCCAGGUGUAGCGGUGAAAUGCGUAGAGAUCUGGAGGAAUACCGGUGGCGAAGGCGGCCCCCUGGACAAAGACUGACGCUCAGGUGCGAAAGCGUGGGGAGCAAACAGGAUUAGAUACCCUGGUAGUCCACGCCGUAAACGAUGUCUACUUGGAGGUUGUGCCCUUGAGGCGUGGCUUCCGGAGCUAACGCGUUAAGUAGACCGCCUGGGGAGUACGGCCGCAAGGUUAAAACUCAAAUGAAUUGACGGGGGCCCGCACAAGCGGUGGAGCAUGUGGUUUAAUUCGAUGCAACGCGAAGAACCUUACCUGGUCUUGACAUCCACAGAACUUUCCAGAGAUGGAUUGGUGCCUUCGGGAACUGUGAGACAGGUGCUGCAUGGCUGUCGUCAGCUCGUGUUGUGAAAUGUUGGGUUAAGUCCCGCAACGAGCGCAACCCUUAUCCUUUGUUGCCAGCGGUCCGGCCGGGAACUCAAAGGAGACUGCCAGUGAUAAACUGGAGGAAGGUGGGGAUGACGUCAAGUCAUCAUGGCCCUUACGACCAGGGCUACACACGUGCUACAAUGGCGCAUACAAAGAGAAGCGACCUCGCGAGAGCAAGCGGACCUCAUAAAGUGCGUCGUAGUCCGGAUUGGAGUCUGCAACUCGACUCCAUGAAGUCGGAAUCGCUAGUAAUCGUGGAUCAGAAUGCCACGGUGAAUACGUUCCCGGGCCUUGUACACACCGCCCGUCACACCAUGGGAGUGGGUUGCAAAAGAAGUAGGUAGCUUAACCUUCGGGAGGGCGCUUACCACUUUGUGAUUCAUGACUGGGGUGAAGUCGUAACAAGGUAACCGUAGGGGAACCUGC